rnacentral:rRNA from 1 species
CCGCUGAACUUAAGCAUACACUAAGCGGAGGAAAAGAAACUAACAAGGAUUCCCUCAGUAACGGCGAGUGAACAGGGAAAAGCCCAGCACCGAAGCCUGUGGCCAAUUGGUCACUAGGCAAUGUGGUGUUUAGGUCGUUCCGCGGCGGCACUGCUCCAUUCCAAGUCCAGCAAUGAGUACGGUAAUGCUGACAUGGCCCAAAGAGGGUGAAAGGCCCGUUGGGGUGGAGAGGUAGAAAUGACAGUGCCUCCCUGGAUAGACCUUGGAGUCGGGUUGUUUGUGAAUGCAGCCCAAAGUGGGUGGUAAACUCCAUCCAAGGCUAAAUACUAGCACGAGUCCGAUAGCGAACAAGUACCGUGAGGGAAAGUUGAAAAGUACUUUGAAGAGAGAGUAAACAGUGCGUGAAACCGCUCAGAGGUAAACGGGUGGAGUUGAACUGUGAGCUCUGUGAAUUUAGCUGGUGAGUGUGGUUUGAGCUUGGUCAAAUUGGUUGUAUCUUGGGGUCUGCGUAGCAGCAGGUCUCCACCUUUUGGUGGGGAUGCGCGAUACACUUAUCAAGUGUUGCGCGCUCCUUGUUUAUUCGGGCCAGCUUGCCAGUGCACUUUCGCAGAGUGUUCACCACGACCGGCAUCGCUGUCUGACUGUUGUGGUUAAACCGGUCUUGCAUUGUCCUCGUGGCUUUGUCUGGUCGGGAUGGCAGGUAGCUCGUUGAUCGGCUUGUGGUUCGCUGCAAGUUUUCGGUUCUCGGGUGUAAUCAGCUGACCACAUCGGUUCUGUGCAGUAUGUCGGAGACGGCGGCUUGUGGUGUGUGCGUGCGUACCAGUUGGCUGGCGUGUCCGGGUUUGGUUGUUAUCUUGCCUGUGUUCACAGGGCUAAUGAUAGCUCGGAUUCGUUCGGUUGGCGGUUGCGUGCGUGUCACUAUUUCCAGGGCCAAUAGUCUGUGGUGUUGCGGUAGACUAUCCACCUGACCCGUCUUGAAACACGGACCAAGGAGAGUAACAUGUGCGCGAGUCAUUGGGCGUAACGAAACCCAAAGGCGAAGUGAAAGUAAAGGUCUGGCUUGUCUGGACUGAGGUGAGAUCCUGUCGUGCCUCAUGCGCGGUAUCACCAAGCAUCGAGCGGCAGGCGCAUCACCGGCCCGUCCCAUGGUGUGGUGACCCUUUCCCUAGAGUUUGUCACCGGGGCGGAGCAUGAGCGUACAUGUUGAGACCCGAAAGAUGGUGAACUAUGCUUGCGCAGGUUGAAGCCAGAGGAAACUCUGGUGGAGGACCGCAGCGAUUCUGACGUGCAAAUCGAUCGUCAGACGUGAGUAUAGGGGCGAAAGACUAAUCGAACCAUCUAGUAGCUGGUUCCCUCCGAAGUUUCCCUCAGGAUAGCUGGUGUUCAGAGAUAUAAACAGUUUUAUCCGGUAAAGCGAAUGAUUAGAGGCCUUGGGGGCGAAACGUCCUCAACCUAUUCUCAAACUUUGAAUGGGUGAGAAGCCUGACUCGCCCAAACGGAGUCAGGCGUUGAAUGUGAAUGCCAAGUGGGCCAUUUUUGGUAAGCAGAACUGGCGCUGUGGGAUGAACCAAACGUCCGGUUAAGGUGCCUAACGCGACGCUCAUCAGAUACCACAAAAGGUGUUGGUUGGUCUAGACAGCAGGACGGUGGCCAUGGAAGUCGGAACCCGCUAAGGAGUGUGUAACAACUCACCUGCCGAAUCAACCAGCCCUGAAAAUGGAUGGCGCUGGAGCGUCGGACCUAUACCGGACCGUCACUGCAAGCUGAGUCGGUAAUGUGUGGUGUGAGGGCAAGUCACACGACUCAGGCAUGGAAUGGUGGUGACGAGUAGGAGGGUCGCCGUGGUGAGCAGGAAGCUUCGGGCGUGAGCCUGAGUGGAGCCGCCACGGGUGCAGAUCUUGGUGGUAGUAGCAAAUAUUCAAGUGAGAACCUUGAAGGCCGAGGUGGAGAAGGGUUCCAUGGGAACAGCAGUUGGCCAUGGGUCAGGCGGUCCUAAGUGAUCCGUUAACUCGGAACAGAGACGGGGUGCCUGACAUUGUCAGGAUUGCUGCUGAUGUACUGUUGCAAGGCAGCCCCCUGUAGCGAAAGGGAAUCGGGUUAAUAUUCCCGACCCUGCCCACGGAGAUUGGUGCAUUCCGGUCUUGUACCGGUUUGCAUCUAGCGCGGUAACGCAACCGACCUCGGAGACGUCGGCAAGAGUUCUGGGAAGAGUUCUCUUUUCUUUAUUAGGAGUGCACCAUCCCCUGGAAUCGGGUUGUCCGGAGAUAGGGGACUAGCCUCCGUAAAGCACCACAUUUCUUGUGGUGUCCGGAACGCUCUUGUCGGCCCUUGAAAAUCCGAGCAAGGCAAUAUAAUUUUCGUGGCAGGCCGUACCCAUAUCCGCAUCAGGUCUCCAAGGUGAACAGCCUCUGGCAAUUGAACAAUGUAGGUAAGGGAAGUCGGCAAACUGGAUCCGUAACUUCGGGAAAAGGAUUGGCUCUGAGGGCCGAGUCAAAUGGGCUGGAGUCAGAUACGUGUUGGUCCAGUUGGAGGCUGGUUUUCCUGUUGCUGUGCCUGCUUCGGUGGGUGUGGUUGAUGGGAUUACUGGACUCUGACCAGGCCGAUCGUGGGCGAUUUCAGCUGUAGUGCUGCUUUGCUGGCA